rnacentral:lncRNA from 1 species
UUUUAUUUUUAUUUUUGACUUCUGUUUUUGAGUUGAAAGAUACAUAACACAAAAUGCAUUCCCAUGUAGUCUUUUAGAUUUGUGAUUAAGAAAAUUAACAAUCUCAUUUAACCAUUUAAUUUGGCUUGUCAGAGGAAUGCCAUUUCUCUUCAAUUGCGAUUAUGAUUUAGCAUAAAAAUAAAAAAAAAUAAAAAACAAUUGCAUGGGAUGGGAUAUAUUGAGUCACCUGGCUCGUGUGUGUGUGUGUGUGUGAGCCUCUUGUGAGUUUUGAGUUUACUAAUGGGUAGCCAUGAGCCUACUGGCUGGGCCAGUACCGUACGGACUGGGGUCAAUGGCUUUCAAGUGUUGUAAUGGUAAAAAUAAAAACCAGGAGACUCAUUUUUCCAUGCUAUUUUUUUUUUUUCAAUCAAAAUUAAUCAUUUCUCCUGUAUGUUUCAAAGUCCAUCAAAAUCCGUUUUAUGGUUAAAAAAAAAUCUUGAAAUUUUUGUAAUAAAAAAAGGUUAGUGUUUCAAUAUGGGUG